AUCCUCUCCUCUAAAACAAAAAGUCUAAAACCCUAACCAAAACCCCCUCAUUUCACCCCAUUCUCCUUCACACGCUGAAAUGGCUUGGCGCAGUGGAGGAUCACUCUCGCGUUCGCUCAUGUCCGCCGCCAGGGCGCCGCUUCCUCGCUCUUCUGCACCUCUCCCCCGCCUCCGUCCCCCGUCUUCCUCCGCACCCCGUUUACAAUCUCGCCGCUUAUCCUUUGCUCCUUCCAGGAACUUGGGAGAACUGGGAUGCAUGCAGUCGUUCUUGCCUUUGGUGUCCGCGGGGAACUUGACAUCGCGUCUCAAUGCUAAUUUGCGGGCUUUUUGUGAGCUGUCUCAUGGUACCUUCUGUCGUUCUUGUCCAGAUCGCUAAUAGUUUCUUUGGAGGAAUGGAAAAGAUGGGUGAUGCACGCGGACUUACAGUCGGCUAAAGGCGCGGAACUGAUGCCACAAUAGUACUUGAAGAGCCUUUGGAUUAGCACUACCAAAUGCAACGUUAUCUGAAGGAAGUCAGUGACUGGAGUACUAUGUGGGAUGCUAGGAAUUUUGUCGUUUUGGCAUGGAUAAUUAAUAAUGAUGUCAUGUUCUAUGCUACAUCUGAGAUCAAUGUUAGGUUUUAUAUACUCUUCGGACAAUCUAUUAGAUGGUUUUGCAGGCACCUGUAUUCACUUGUCGGUUUGUGUGCUCUGUUUCUUUGAUUUGUACCUUGUCUCUGGAAGGUCCUGCUGUUGAUACAUGAUUAUCAAACUUUUUUUAGUUUUUGGAA